AUUGAACGCUGGCGGCAGGCUUAACACAUGCAAGUCGAGCGGGGGAAGGUAGCUUGCUACCGGACCUAGCGGCGGACGGGUGAGUAAUGCUUAGGAAUCUGCGUAUUAGUGGGGGACAACAUCUCGAAAGGGAUGCUAGUACCGCAUACGUCCUACGUGAGAAAGCAGGGGAGCUUCGGACCUUGCGCGAAUACAUGAGCCUAAGUCGGAUUAGCUAGUUGGUUGGGUAAAGGCCUACCAAGGCGACGAUCUGUAGCGGGUCUGAGAGGAUGAUCCGCCACACUGGGACUGAGACACGGCCCAGACUCCUACGGGAGGCAGCAGUGGGGAAUAUUGGACAAUGGGGGGAACCCUGAUCCAGCCAUGCCGCGUGUGUGAAGAAGGCCUUAUGGUUGUAAAGCACUUUAAGCGAGGAGGAGGCUACUCUAGUUAAUACCUAGGGAUAGUGGACGUUACUCGCAGAAUAAGCACCGGCUAACUCUGUGCCAGCCGCCGCGGUAA
rnacentral:rRNA from 1 species